UUACAACCUUCAUAGUGGUGUAGUCCCAGCGUACAAAUUUUUGAACAUAUUUUUCAAUUGUCCCGCACUUUUAUUUUUGAAGUCAGAUGUAAAAAUUUGACAGCUACGCGUCUAUGGACAGGAUUGGCGAUUCGUUUCGCAAUGCAACCAACAAAAAAAACAGAAAGCUAUCAAAAUAAUUUGUGAGUGUCGGUCGAAGAUGGCGCAUAGACAGCGAAGAACUUUACAGAUCUUCGUGAUAAAGAAAUAAUAAAUUACCUAAACGAAUCUGAGUUCGAAGAUGACAGCGGCGAUGAAUAUUCCGCAGAUCCCGUUGCUUUUCAAAUAAAUUUUUCUAGUUCCGAAUCUUCAGACGAAGAGACCAUACAACAUCUAGCACCACCAAGACUUCCUAAUCGACCAAGUCGUGGAAGUAGUCGUAGUCAUGGGCUCAAAGCAACAGAGGACAGAGUGUAUCAAGAAGAGGUUCCCGAACUCGUUGAGGGUAUCCAGGAAGAAGUUCGUCAAAUAAUGCCAGCGCGUCGUCAUCUUCGACUAACACCCAACGCGAAUGGUUCCUUUUUUGUUUCUAUUACUUAAAAGACUGUUUCUAGAAGUUUUGAUUAUUUACGUUCAUAUUUCGAAUAAAAAAUUAUAUGAAA